rnacentral:rRNA from 1 species
CCUAGGGGAGGCAGCAGUGGGGAAUAUUGCACAAUGGGCGCAGGCCUGAUGCAGCCAUGCCGCGUGUAUGAAGAAGGCCUUCGGGUUGUAAAGUACUUUCAGCGGGGAGGAAGGUGUUGUGGUUAAUAACCGCAGCAAUUGACGUUACCCGCAGAAGAAGCACCGGCUAACUCCGUGCCAGCAGCCGCGGUAA